UAUUCAAACAUUGUUAUCCACCAAUCAAACUGUGUUUAUCUCUAACCAUCGAACCCUAAAUCCAACUCUCUCCAUCAAACCCUAACCCCAUAUCACUGCAUCAACCAAUCUUUUCUUUGUUCGCUGAAGACUCAUCUCUAAUAGAUGCAGACUCUAGAAUAAGUCAGAUACAAUUUUUCCCUUUUUCGAACCCUAAAAUCGAAGGAAGAACUGAAGGAAGAUCUCUCUCUCUCUCUCUCUCUCUAUAUAUAUAUAUAUAUAUAUAUCGAUCUCGUGGAAUCUGUUGUAAGGGAAAUUUGAUUCCAUGUAGCUUGGAGUGAUAAUACAAUUGAGGACAAGACCAAGACUACCACCGAUAAG